AGCCUUGUAGCUCAGUCGGUAGAGCAUGAGACUCUUAAUCUCAGGGUCGUGGGUUGCGCAAAAUAUUCCUACAUUGCAGGGGGCUG